UUCCAGGUAUGGUACAGAACGUACGUGUCACCAUGGGGGUAGGUGGUGCCUGAAGGAUUUGACAGAAUGAAUGGGCGUGUACCACGGAGUGACUCAUGACUGGGGUUAAAUCGUAACAAGGUAGCCGUAGUGGAACCUGCGGCUGGAUCACCUCCUUA
rnacentral:rRNA from 1 species